rnacentral:rRNA from 1 species
UACAGAGGGUGCUAGCGUUGUUCGGAAUCAUUGGGCGUAAAGGGCGUGUAGGCGGUUUGUUAAGUCAUGUGUGAAAUCCCUCGGCUCAACCGGGGAAGGACGCAUGAAACUGGCAAGCUAGAGUACCAAAGAGGGGGGUGGAAUUCCCGGUGUAGCGGUGAAAUGCGUAGAUAUCGAGAGGAACACCUGCGGCGAAGGCGGGUUGCUGGGCCGACACUGACGCUGAUGCGCGAAAGCCAGGGGAGCGAACGGG